rnacentral:rRNA from 1 species
ACUUCUGGAUAAGCUUGGGAAACUGGGUCUAAUACCGGAUAGGACCGCACUUUAGUGUGUGUGGUGGAAAGUUUUUUCGGUGUAGGAUGAGCUCGCGGCCUAUCAGCUUGUUGGUGGGGUAAUGGCCUACCAAGGCGGCGACGGGUAGCCGGCCUGAGAGGGUGUACGGCCACAUUGGGACUGAGAUACGGCCCAG